rnacentral:rRNA from 1 species
CCUACGGGUGGCAGCAGUGGGAAAUAUUGCACAAUGGGCGAAAGCCUGAUGCAGCAACGCCGCGUGAAGGAAGACGGUUUUCGGAUUGUAAACUUCUGUUCUUAGUGAAGAAUAAUGACGGUAACUAAGGAGCAAGCCACGGCUAACUACGUGCCAGCAGCCGCGGUAAUACGUAGGUGGCAAGCGUUGUCCGGAUUUACUGGGUGUAAAGGGCGUGCAGCCGGAGAGACAAGUCAGAUGUGAAAUCCACGGGCUCAACCCGUGAACUGCAUUUGAAACUGUUUCCCUUGAGUGUCGGAGAGGUAAUCGGAAUUCCUUGUGUAGCGGUGAAAUGCGUAGAUAUAAGGAAGAACACCAGUGGCGAAGGCGGAUUACUGGACGAUAACUGACGGUGAGGCGCGAAAGCGUGGGGAGCAAACAGGAUUAGAUACCCCAGUAGUC